rnacentral:rRNA from 1 species
GAUGAACGCUGGCGGCGUGCUUAACACAUGCAAGUCGAACGGAAAGGCCCUGCUUGCAGGGUACUCGAGUGGCGAACGGGUGAGUAACACGUGGGUGAUCUGCCCUGUACUUUGGGAUAAGCCUGGGAAACUGGGUCUAAUACCGAAUAUGACCACUUCUUGGAUGGGGUGGUGGAAAGCUUUUGCGGUAUGGGAUGAGCUCGCGGCCUAUCAGCUUGUUGGUGGGUAAUGGCCUACCAAGGCGUCGACGGGUAGCCGGCCUGAGAGGGUGUACGGCCACAUUGGGACUGAGAUACGGCCCAG